rnacentral:misc_RNA from 1 species
UCCCGCUUAUCACGGGCAGUCUCCUUUGAGUGCUCAGCUUUACCUGAUAGCAACAAAGGACAGGGGUUGCGCUCGUUACGGGACUUAACCCAACAUCUCACGACACGAGCUGACGACAGCCAUGCAGCACCUGUCUCUAGGUUCCUUUCGGCACUCCCGCAUCUCUGCAGGAUUCCUAGGAUGUCAAGGGUAGGUAAGGUUCUUCGCGUUGCAUCGAAUUAAACCACAUGCUCCACCGCUUGUGCGGGCCCCCGUCAAUUCUUUUGAGUUUCAACCUUGCGGCCGUACUCCCCAGGCGGAGAACUUAACGCGUUAGCUUCGCUACGCAAAGGGUUUAUCCCCUCCGCACAGCCAGUUCUCAUCGUUUACAGCGUGGACUAC